rnacentral:tRNA from 1 species
UAAAUAAGAAACAAAAAUUGUAAUUAGUUUCGACCUAAUAUUAGAUGUUUUUACAUCCUUAUUUA